rnacentral:rRNA from 1 species
UACGCACCGCCCGUCACACCAUGGGAGUUGGCUUUACCUGAAGGCGGUGCGCUAACCCGCAAGGGAGGCAGCCGACCACGGUAGGGUCAGCGACUGGGGUG